AAGAAGAUUCGCACAUUUCACAGAGGAGGGCAGAAAGAUGGCAGACGGUAGUGUGGCACCUGUUUUCCGUGUGCCACGAAAAAGGAAGCUGGACACUAUGGAUGGUAAUGGGCAGAUAAUAGUUGGGCCACCAGCAGCAACGUCAGCAGCUCCUACAGCCCCAACAGCAGCUCCAACAGUCCAGUGUGACAGCUGUGUCUCCAUUGAACAGGUGUUUAUUUCUUCACUAACCAUACAAUCUGGAUGACAAUAACCCAAACAAAGUUG